CGGGGCGGAGGACGGCGACUUCCGUCCGCUGUGUGAGGAGGGGGCCGUGGUCAGUCAGAGGCGGAACCAACCAGGACGGCGACUUCCACCCACACUGUGAGAAGGAGGCCGUGGUCAGAGGCCGUGGUCAGUCAGAGGUGGAGGGGCCGAGGACGGCAACUUCCGUCCGCUGUGUGAGGAGGAGGCCGUGGUCAGUCAGAGGCGGGGUCAACAAGGACGGCGACUUCGGUUCCCUGUGUGAGGAGGCGGCCGUGGUCAGUCGUUGGGCGAGGAGCGGAGCAGCAUGACCCCCGUCCUUGGUGCCCAUGAGGAGGCAGUAGUUUCCAGUCAGCAGUUGUGUCUACGCAGGGGAAGGCGAGGACACUGAAUCCAAAGAGGAGUCAGAAAAAGCAUGGCCUUAGGGCUGUGCCGGUGACCCACAGCCAUGCCGCCUGCCUCUCAGAGUCGGGUCCACACGUGGCGGUACAAUGACGUUAAAGAAUAAAAAACAAGAAGGAAAGGAGGGAAAAGAAACGAAAGAAUAAAUGAUGCACAAGACUUCUAAACAAAGUCAUGUUUCCUGUCUGAAAUCUCCGUUGGGCAGCCUGCUGUUACUGCAUGGGAAGGACUGUUUUCCCAAGGGCUUUGCUGGAGGUGCACAGGAAAUCACAGCUGCCCCACUUAUAAAAGUUCCCUGUUUUCAUGAACAUUUUGAAGCCCUCUCGUGAAUCCCAAGUCCAUGGUUACCAUCUUACUCAAAUGUGAAAAGUCGAAGCUUUUCCUCUCAUAUCAGGAACAAGUUGAGGAUGCCCCUUUUGCCACUGCUAUUCAACAUGGCAGCAACAGACCCAGGCUACACAGACUAAGGUAUUUACAAGUCAUUCGUCUAUGAGAAGACAUAAUCUCAAGUGGAUUAUAGCAGGAGACUGAAGACCUUCUCCAAGGCCCUUCUUAUCCCUGAAUCAGGUCUAACUGCAUACCGUAUACCUUACAGUUUGGAGUUCCGUCUAGGCGUUUAUUGCAGAUAACUGAUGCAUCAGAAGGGAUUGAAUGUCUAGGAGGAUCUAGUCCAUCAAACAGCUCAACCAUCAGUGAGGUCAUUUUGAGCAGAGGUCAUUUAUCACAGAUUUCCAAGAAUAUAGCAAUCGCCAGCCACCAGCGGGACCACCAGGAAACUGGCUUUUUUGUAUCAAUAAAUCUAAAACCACCACAGA